CUACGGGCGGCUCCAGCUAGGGAAAUUUUACAAUGCUCGAAAGAGUGAUAGAAUGAGCCAGAGUGUUUCUCUUAGAGGAACUUUUUUCUGCUGUAAAAAUGCGGAAGAAUAAGGACUGGGCAAGACCGGUGCCAGCCGCCGCGGUAAUACCGGCGGUCCAAGUCGCAUCCAUAUUUAUUAGGUCUAAAACAUCCGUAGCUUGUUUUAUAAGUCUCUUGUGAAAUCCUAUAUCUCAAGUAUAGGGCGUGCAAGAGAUACUAUAUUGCUAGAGACCGGAAGACGUAACGAGUACGAUUAAGGUAGCGGUAAAAUGUGUUAAUCUUAAUUGGACUAACAAUGGCGAAGGCAUGUUACGAGUACGGAUCUGACAGUGAGGGAUGAAGGCUAGGGGCGCAAAACGGAUUAGAUACCCUCGUAGUC
rnacentral:rRNA from 1 species